rnacentral:rRNA from 1 species
CAUAUCAAUAAGCGGAGGAAAAGAAACUAACAAGGAUUCCCCUAGUAACUGCGAGUGAAGCGGGAAAAGCUCAAAUUUAAAAUCUGUCAGUCUUUGGCUGUCCGAGUUGUAAUCUAGAGAAGUGUUAUCCGCGCUGGACCGUGUACAAGUCUCCUGGAAUGGAGCGUCAUAGAGGGUGAGAAUCCCGUCUUUGACACGGACUGCCAGGGCUUUGUGAUGCGCUCUCAAAGAGUCGAGUUGUUUGGGAAUGCAGCUCAAAAUGGGUGGUAAAUUCCAUCUAAAGCUAAAUAUUGGCGAGAGACCGAUAGCGAACAAGUACCGUGAGGGAAAGAUGAAAAGAACUUUGGAAAGAGAGUUAAACAGUACGUGAAAUUGCUGAAAGGGAAACGCUUGAAGUCAGUCGCGUUGUCCAGGGAUCAACCUUGCUUUUGCUUGGUUUACUUUCUGGUUGACGGGUCAGCAUCAAUUUCGACUGUUGGAAAAAGGUCAGGGGAAUGUGGCAUCUUCGGAUGUGUUAUAGCCCUUGAUUGCAUACAAUGGUUGGGAUUGAGGAACUCAGCACGCCGCAAGGCCGGGUAUUUCAUACCACGUACGUGCUUAGGAUGCUGGCAUAAUGGCUUUAAUCGACCCGUCUUGAAACACGGACCAAGGAGUCUAACAUGCCUGCGAGUGUUUGGGUGGAAAACCCGAGCGCGUAAUGAAAGUGAAAGUUGAGAUCCCUGUCGUGGGGAGCAUCGACGCCCGGACCAGACCUUUUGUGACGGUUCCGCGGUAGAGCAUGUAUGUUGGGACCCGAAAGAUGGUGAACUAUGCCUGAAUAGGGUGAAGCCAGAGGAAACUCUGGUGGAGGCUCGUAGCGAUUCUGACGUGCAAAUCGAUCGUCAAAUUUGGGUAUAGGGGCGAAAGACUAAUCGAACCAUCUAGUAGCUGG